UACGUAGGGUGCAAGCGUUAUCCGGAAUUAUUGGCGUAAAGAGCUCGUAGGCGGUCUAUCGCGUCGGCUGUGAAAACUCGGGGCUCAACCCCGAGCCUGCAGUCGAUACGGGCAGACUAGAGUGCGGUAGGGGAGACUGGAAUUCCUGGUGUAGCGGUGAAAUGCGCAGAUAUCAGGAGGAACACCGGUGGCGAAGGCGGUUCUCUGGGCAUGAUCUGACGCUGAGGAGCGAAAGUGUGGGGAGCGAACAGG
rnacentral:rRNA from 1 species